CAGCAGCCGCGGUAAUACGUAGGUGGCAAGCGUUGUCCGGAAUUAUUGGGCGUAAGGGGCUCGCAGGCGGUUUCUUAAGUCUGAUGUGAAAGCCCCCGGCUCAACCGGGGAGGGUCAUUGGAAACUGGGAAACUUGAGUGCAGAAGAGGAGAGUGGAAUUCCACGUGUAGCGGUGAAAUGCGUAGAGAUGUGGAGGAACACCAGUGGCGAAGGCGACUCUCUGGUCUGUAACUGACGCUGAGGAGCGAAAGCGUGGGGAGCGAACAGGAUUAGAUACCCGGGUAGUCCCUGUCUCUUAUAC
rnacentral:rRNA from 1 species